CAUCAGGCCCUCGCACGCCUUCACCACCACCCGGCCGUCCUGGGGGGGCAGAGAGGGCGAGGUCAGCCCCGCUGGAACCACGGACCAACGCCGUGCCGACACACAGCCGGUUUACAGUUUUUUCAAUACAACAAUAACAAACAAAUUGAGCCAGGUAUACAUUCACUUUUCCCAGAUUAAAUUAAGUGAAGGGUGAAAGAAUUCAACCAGGCCAGGUCUUUCUCUAACCUAGAGAAACCAGUAAAA